GGCUAUAGUUCAAUGGCAGAGCAUCUGCCUGACAUGCAGAAGGCCCCGCGUUCGAAUCCCAGCGUCUGUAGCCG
rnacentral:tRNA from 1 species